GACGAACGCUGGCGGCGUGCUUAACACAUGCAAGUCGUACGGUAAGGCCCUUUCGGGGGUACACGAGUGGCGAACGGGUGAGUAACACGUGAGUAACCUGCCCACAACUUUGGGAUAACGCUAGGAAACUGGUGCUAAUACUGGAUAUGUGCUCCUGCUGCAUGGUGGGGGUUGGAAAGCUCCGGCGGUUGUGGAUGGACUCGCGGCCUAUCAGCUUGUUGGUGGGGUAGUGGCCUACCAAGGCGGCGACGGGUAGCCGGCCUGAGAGGGUGACCGGCCACAUUGGGGCUGAGAUACGGCCCAGACUCCUACGAGAGGCAGCAGUGGGGAAUAUUGCACAAUGGGCGCAAGCCUGAGGCAGCAACGCCGCGUGCGGGAGGACGGCCUUCGGGUUGUAGACCGCGUUCAGCAGGGACGAUGCUUUUUGUGACGGUACCUGCAGAAGAAGCACCGGCUAACUACGUG
rnacentral:rRNA from 1 species